ACGACCUUACUUGAACAGGAUCUGUUCUAUAGGAUCAUACCGCUACAUCCUUUUACCAAAAAAUAGUGUUGAUCUGUU
rnacentral:snoRNA from 1 species